rnacentral:lncRNA from 10 species
UUUAUUUUCGUUUCUUCCCCUGGGUUGCUAAAACAGAAAAACAGUUUUUUUCCUUCUAUCUCCCAGACCCUUCCCCAGUAACAUUUAUGGUUUUAAAGUCAGAGAAGUCAACAAAUAAUGAACAAACUGUAAGUAAAAUUUUUAGGGUAAAAACUUGAAGAUGUUUUCAGAUUCUGUUUUCCUUACUUUUCUUUUUCCUUUUUUCUUCUUUUUAUAAACCCAGAUGAGUUAUCACCACCUUGUUCUGAACAACACAACAGGGAGCAAAUUUUAAUUGGCUUGGAAAAGUUUAUUCAAAAAGAAUAUGAUGAAAAGGCAAGGUUGUGCUUAUUUGGCUCUUCUAAGAAUGGAUUUGGAUUUCGUGAUAGUGAUCUGGAUAUUUGUAUGACCCUGGAAGGCCAUGAAAAUGCAGAGGUAAGAGUGUUUGGAAAGCGUUAUGUAAGUUUAUUUUCUCCCAAUGACGAUUCUAUGUUUAUUUUUGUAUGUGAUAUUGAUAAAAAUGUGGUAUCACUCUUUGUAUA